rnacentral:rRNA from 1 species
GACGAACGCUGGCGGCGUGCUUAACACAUGCAAGUCGAGCGGUAAGGCCCUUUCGGGGGUACACGAGCGGCGAACGGGUGAGUAACACGUGGGUGACCUGCCUUUAGCUCUGGGAUAAGCCUGGGAAACUGGGUCUAAUACCGGAUACGACUCCGCGGUGCAUGCUGUGGGGUGGAAAGCCUUGUGCGGCUGGAGAUGGGCCCGCGGCCUAUCAGCUUGUUGGUGGGGUGAUGGCCUACCAAGGCGACGACGGGUAGCCGGCCUGAGAGGGCGACCGGCCACACUGGGACUGAGACACGGCCCAGACUCCUACGGGAGGCAGCAGUGGGGAAUCUUGCGCAAGUGGACGAAAGCCUGACGCAGCGACGCCGCGUGAGGGAUGAC